AACCACCAGCACGCAUGGUGCUGUGUCCCAGUUCUACCACCAAAGCAGCCACUUCCUUCUCAACAGCAUAUGCCCAUCAGUGAAAUCCAAAGGCCCUAUUAUGUGGAUUCCACAUAUAACGAAUUCAUUAGUAUAAGCGAAGCCAAAAAUUAUAAGAGCCUAUUUGGAUAUUCCUACAAGAACAUCUUGUAAGACAUCAGGCCUGUUGGCCUGUCCAACCUGCAGUUUUCUGAGGGCUUGCUGAAGUCUUAGCCUAAAUCCCAAUCCAUGGACCCAA
rnacentral:lncRNA from 1 species